UUCCUACGGGAGGCAGCAGUGGGGAAUUUUGGACAAUGGGCGCAAGCCUGAUCCAGCCAUGCCGCGUGUAUGAAGAAGGCCUUCGGGUUGUAAAGUACUUUUGUCAGGGAAGAAAAGCCUGAGGAUAACACCCUCAGGUCAUGACGGUACCUGAAGAAUAAGCACCGGCUAACUACGUGCCAGCAGCCGCGGUAAUACGUAGGGUGCGAGCGUUAAUCGGAAUUACUGGGCGUAAAGCGAGCGCAGACGGUUAUUUAAGCAAGAUGUGAAAGCCCCGGGCUCAACCUGGGAACUGCGUUUUGAACUGGGUAACUAGAGUGUGUCAGAGGGGGGUAGAAUUCCACGUGUAGCAGUGAAAUGCGUAGAGAUGUGGAGGAAUACCGAUGGCGAAGGCAGCCCCCUGGGAUAACACUGACGUUCAUGCUCGAAAGCGUGGGUAGCAAACAGGAUUAGAUACCCUGGUAGUCCA
rnacentral:rRNA from 1 species